rnacentral:rRNA from 1 species
GUGCCAGCCGCCGCGGUAAUACGUAGGGAGCAAGCGUUAUCCGGAUUUACUGGGUGUAAAGGGUGCGUANGCGGCUAUGUAAGUCAGAUGUGAAAUUUAGAGGCUCAACUUCUAAACUGCAUUUGAAACUGUAUAGCUUGAGUGAAGUAGAGGCAGGCGGAAUUCCCUGUGUAGCGGUGAAAUGCGUAGAGAUAGGGAGGAACACCAGUGGCGAAGGCGGCCUGCUGGGCUUUAACUGACGCUGAGGCACGAAAGCGUGGGUAGCAAACAGGAUUAGAUACCCUGGUAGUCCACGCUGUAAACGAUGAUUACUAGGUGUGGGGGGUCUGACCCCUUCCGUGCCGCAGUUAACACAAUAAGUAAUCCACCUGGGGAGUACGGCCGCAAGGUUGAAACUCAAAGGAAUUGACGGGGGCCCGCACAAGCAGUGGAGUAUGUGGUUUAAUUCGAAGCAACGCGAAGAACCUUACCAGGUCUUGACAUCCUAAGAAUCCUUCAGAGAUGAGGGAGUGCCUUUCGAGGAAUUUAGAGACAGGUGGUGCAUGGUUGUCGUCAGCUCGUGUCGUGAGAUGUUGGGUUAAGUCCCGCAACGAGCGCAACCCUUGCUAUUAGUUGCUACGCAAGAGCACUCUAAUAGGACUGCCGUUGACAAAACGGAGGAAGGUGGGGAUGACGUCAAAUCAUCAUGCCCCUUAUGACCUGGGCUACACACGUACUACAAUGGCCGUCAACAGAGGGCAGCGAAAUAGUGAUAUGGAGCAAAUCCCUAAAAACGGUCUCAGUUCGGACUGCAGGCUGCAACCCGCCUGCACGAAGUUGGAAUUGCUAGUAAUCGCGGAUCAGCAUGUCGCGGUGAAUACGUUCCCGGGCCUUGUACACACCGCCCGU